rnacentral:rRNA from 1 species
UACGAAGGGGGCGAGCGUUGUUCGGAUUUACUGGGCGUAAAGGGCGCGUAGGCGGCCCGUUUUGUCAGGCGUGAAAGCCCUGGGCUCAACCUGGGAACUGCGCUUGGGACGGAUGGGCUUGAGAUCGGGAGAGGAGAGUGGAAUUCCCAGUGUAGAGGUGAAAUUCGUAGAUAUUGGGAAGAACACCGGUGGCGAAGGCGGCCUGCUGGGCAGUGGCUGACGCUGAGGCGCGACAGCGUGGGGAGCAAACAGG